GACGAACGCUGGCGGCGUGCUUAACACAUGCAAGUCGAGCGAUGAAGUUCCUUCGGGAAUGGAUUAGCGGCGGACGGGUGAGUAACACGUGGGUAACCUGCCUCAUAGAGGGGAAUAGCCUUUCGAAAGGAAGAUUAAUACCGCAUAAGAUUGUAGUAUCGCAUGAUACAGCAAUUAAAGGAGUAAUCCGCUAUGAGAUGGACCCGCGUCGCAUUAGCUAGUUGGUGAGGUAACGGCUCACCAAGGCGACGAUGCGUAGCCGACCUGAGAGGGUGAUCGGCCACAUUGGGACUGUGACACGGCCCAGACUCCUACGGGAGGCAGCAGUGGGGAAUAUUGCACAAUGGGGGAAACCCUGAUGCAGCAACGCCGCGUGAGUGAUGACGGUCUUUGGAUUGUAAAACUCUGUCUUCAGGGACGAUAAUGACGGUACCUGAGGAGGAAGCCACGGCUAACUACGUGCCAGCCGCCGCAGUAACAC
rnacentral:rRNA from 1 species